rnacentral:rRNA from 1 species
CCUACGGGCGGCAGCAGUGGGGAAUAUUACACAAUGGGCGCAAGCCUGAUGCAGCCAUGCCGCGUGUGUGAAGAAGGCCUUCGGGUUGUAAAGCACUUUCAGCGGGGAGGAAGGCGGUGAGGUUAAUAACCUCAUCGAUUGACGUUACCCGCAGAAGAAGCACCGGCUAACUCCGUGCCAGCAGCCGCGGUAAUACGGAGGGUGCAAGCGUUAAUCGGAAUUACUGGGCGUAAAGCGCACGCAGGCGGUCUGUCAAGUCGGAUGUGAAAUCCCCGGGCUCAACCUGGGAACUGCAUUCGAAACUGGCAGGCUAGAGUCUUGUAGAGGGGGGUAGAAUUCCAGGUGUAGCGGUGAAAUGCGUAGAGAUCUGGAGGAAUACCGGUGGCGAAGGCGGCCCCCUGGACAAAGACUGACGCUCAGGUGCGAAAGCGUGGGGAGCAAACAGGAUUAGAUACCCCUGUAGUC